UACGAAGGGAGCUAGCGUUGUUCGGAAUCACUGGGCGUAAAGCGCACGUAGGCGGACGUGUCAGUCAGGGGUGAAAUCCCGGAGCUCAACUUCGGAACUGCCUUUGAUACAGCACGUCUUGAGUCCGGAAGAGGUGGGUGGAACUGCGAGUGUAGAGGUGAAAUUCGUAGAUAUUCGCAAGAACACCAGUGGCGAAGGCGGCUCACUGGCCCGGUACUGACGCUGAGGCACGAAAGCGUGGGGAGCAAACAGG
rnacentral:rRNA from 1 species